rnacentral:misc_RNA from 1 species
AAUUUUUCAUUGCACCUGUUGCAUAGGAGUGAAUACUGAUUUGCAAUGUCUGCUGAUGUAGAAUUGCAAGAUUAUUCUAAAUUACUAUGACAGAAACUAUCGAAACAUUACAUGGUUAAUAGGAUUAGGAAUUAAGGAUUGGAAGUUACCCAUGUUCCCUGGUUAAAUGUGUAUAUGGUUGCUGGAUUUUUCAAGGUGUUAGACCGUUGAUGG